rnacentral:misc_RNA from 1 species
GAUGAAGAACGUAGCGAAAUGCGAUAAGUAAUGUGAAUUGUAGAAUUCAGUGAAUCAUCGAAUCUUUGAACGCACAUUGCGCCCCCUGGUAUUCCGGGGGGCAUGCCUGUCCGAGCGUCAUUACAACCCUCAAGCUCAGCUUGGUGUUGGGCCCCGCCGCCCCGGCGGGCCCUAAAGUCAGUGGCGGUGCCGUCCGGCUCCGAGCGUAGUAAUUCUUCUCGCUCUGGAGGUCCGGUCGUGUGCUCGCCAGCAACCCCCAAUUUUUUUCAGGUUGACCUCGGAUCAGGUAGGGAUACCCGCUGAACUUAAGCAUAUCAAUAAGCGGAGGA